GCCGGGGUGGCUCAGUCGUUUGAGUGUCUGACUUCAGCUCAGGUCAUGAUUUCAUGGUUCGUGAGUUCAAGCCCCAUCUUGGGCU
rnacentral:tRNA from 1 species